rnacentral:rRNA from 1 species
AGCGAACGCUGGCGGCAGGCCUAACACAUGCAAGUCGAACGAACCUUUCGGGGUUAGUGGCGGACGGGUGAGUAACACGUGGGAACGUGCCUUUAGGUUCGGAAUAACUCAGGGAAACUUGUGCUAAUACCGCAUGUGCCCUUCGGGGGUAAGAUUUAUCGCCUUUGGAGCGGCCCGCGUCUGAUUAGCUAGUUGGUUGAGGUAAUGGCACACCAAGGCGACGAUCAGUAGCUGGUCUGUGAGGAUGAUCAGCCACAUUGGGACUGAGACACGGCCCAAACUCCUACGCGAGGCAGCAGUGGGGAGUCUUGCGCAAUGGGCGAAAGCCUGACGCAGCCAUGCCGCGUGAAUGAUGAAGGUCUUAGGAUUGUAAAAUUCUUUCACCGGGGACGAUAAUGACGGUACCCGGAGAAGAAGCCCCGGCUAACUUCGUG